UGGGGGAUAUUGCACAAUGGGCGAAAGCCUGAUGCAGCGACGCCGCGUGGGGGAUGAAGGCUUUCGGGUUGUAAACCUCUUUCGCUAUCGAACAAGGCCCGCUUAGGGUGGGUUGAGGGUAGGUGGAGAAGAAGCGCCGGCUAACUACGUGCCAGCAGCCGCGGUAAUACGUAGGGCGCGAGCGUUGUCCGGAAUUAUUGGGCGUAAAGGGCUUGUAGGCGGCUUGUUGCGCCUGCUGUGAAAACGCGGGGCUUAACUUCGCGCGUGCAGUGGGUACGGGCAGGCUUGAGUGUGGUAGGGGUGACUGGAAUUCCAGGUGUAGCGGUGGAAUCCGCAGAUAUCUGGAGGAACACCGAUGGCGAAGGCAGGUCACUGGGCCAUUACUGACGCUGAGGAGCGAAAGCAUGGGUAGCGAACAGG
rnacentral:rRNA from 1 species